rnacentral:SRP_RNA from 2 species
GCCGGGCAUGGUGGUGUGCGCCUGUAAUCCCAGCUACUCGGGAGGCUGAGGCAGGAGAAUCGCUUGAACCCGGGAGGCAGAGGUUGCAGUGAGCCAAGAUGGUGCCACUGCACUCCAGCCUGGGCGACAGAGCGAGACUCUGUCUCAA